ACGGACGCUGGCGGCGUGCUUCACACAUGCAAGUCGAGCGGUAAGGCCUUUCGGGGUACACGAGCGGCGAACGGGUGAGUAACACGUGGGUGAUCUGCCCUGCACUUCGGGAUAAGCCUGGGAAACUGGGUCUAAUACCGGAUAUGACCUCCUAUCGCAUGGUGGGUGGUGGAAAGAUUUAUCGGUGCAGGAUGGGCCCGCGGCCUAUCAGCUUGUUGGUGGGGUAAUGGCCUACCAAGGCGACGACGGGUAGCCGACCUGAGAGGGUGACCGGCCACACUGGGACUGAGACACGGCCCAGACUCCUACGGGAGGCAGCAGUGGGGAAUAUUGCACAAUGGGCGAAAGCCUGAUGCAGCGACGCCGCGUGAGGGAUGACGGCCUUCGGGUUGUAAACCUCUUUCAGCAGGGACGAAGCGCAAGUGACGGUACCUGCAGAAGAAGCACCGGCUAACUACGUG
rnacentral:rRNA from 1 species